rnacentral:rRNA from 1 species
GAUGAACGCUGGCGGCGUGCUUAACACAUGCAAGUCGAACGGUGAAAGCGGGAGCUUGCUCCUGCUGGAUCAGUGGCGAACGGGUGAGUAACACGUGAGCAAUCUGCCCCGAACUCUGGGAUAAGCGCUGGAAACGGCGUCUAAUACCGGAUACGACGCGCGACGGCAUCGUCUGCGCGUGGAAAGAACUUCGGUUCGGGAUGAGCUCGCGGCCUAUCAGCUUGUUGGUGAGGUAACGGAUCACCAAGGCGACGACGGGUAGCCGGCCUGAGAGGGUGGCCGGCCCCACUGGGGUUGGGCCACGGCCCAGACUCCCACGGGAGGCAGCAGUGGUGAAUAUGGCACAAUGGGCGCAAGCCUGAUGCAUCAACGCCGCGUGAGGGACGACGGCCUUCGGGUUGUAAACCUCUUUUAGCAGGGAAGAAGCGAAAGUGACGGUACCUGCAGAAAAAGCACCGGCUAACUACGUGCCAGCAGCCGCCGUAACAC